AAUAAGGUGCCUGAUUAAAGGAUUAUUUUGAUAGAAUAAAUUAAGUAAAUAUAUUACUCUUAUUA
rnacentral:tRNA from 1 species